rnacentral:tRNA from 2 species
GCAGUCAUGGCCGAGUGGUUAAGGCGAUGGACUAGACAUCCGCUGGGGUCUCCCCGCACAGGUUCGAAUCGCGUCGACUGCG